UACAGAGGGUGCAAGCGUUAAUCGGAAUUACUGGGCGUAAAGCGCGCGUAGGCGGCUGUCUAAGUCGGGUGUGAAAGCCCCGGGCUCAGCCUGGGAACUGCAUUCGAUACUGGACGGCUAGAGUAUGAGAGAGGGAGGUAGAAUUCCACGUGUAGCGGUGAAAUGCGUAGAUAUGUGGAGGAAUACCGGUGGCGAAGGCGGCCUCCUGGUUCAAUACUGACGCUGAGGUGCGAAAGCGUGGGGAGCAAACAGG
rnacentral:rRNA from 1 species